AUGUCCAUGGUGCCCUGGGCUGUCUCCUCCCCUGGGGAUGAGGGUUGGGUGUCCAUGGUGCCCUGGGCUGUGUCUUUCCCUGGGAAUGAGGGUUGGGUGCCCAUGGUGCCCUGGGCUGUGUUUCCUUAGGGAUGAGGGUUGGGUGCCAUGGCAUCCUGGGCAGGUGCUUCCUUUCUGCACAAGGUUGGGUGACCAUGAUGUCCUGGCAGUGGCUUCCCUGGCUUGCCUCUUUUCUGCCAUGUGGGAAGAGCAGGGGAGGUUUAGUUGGUCUCAGCACAUCAUUCUCUCAGGAUAAGUACAAGAGUGUCUGAGCUGUGAGGCCAGUGCUCCAGCUUUGAAAUUGUCUUCCCCACCCUCACCCCCAUCCCAUCAAAGCCCGACACUUCGUGUGGCAGCAGCGAGGUGGGUGUUGGCUGUUCUCUUGGGCCGGGGGUUAGUGGUGGACAGGGAAAGGAGGGAUGUUGGUCAAAGGGCAUGAAGUUUCUGCUAGAUGGGAGGAGUCAGGUCUUUCGAUCUGUUGCACAACAUGGUGACUGCAGUUAACAAUAAUGUCUAUUUCAAGAUUGCUAAACGAUGAGCUUUUAAAUAUUCUCACCACAAAAUGAUUAGUGUGUGAGGUGAUGGAUAUGCCACUUGCCUUGUUUGGAUCAUCCCACAAUAUAGACAGGUAUCGUCACUUCACAUUGCACCCCAGGAAUUUUCACAUUUGGUUUUUGUCAAUUAAAAAUAGAGACACAAAAGGAGAGAGGGGAGAGCAACAGACACUUCAUGGAACCGUGGGCUCCUGCUACCAGGUAAAAUAAACUGCAAAAUGAUUCCCAGGGAACCAUUCCCUCUUUCAAAGCCCUUGGUUACAGGAAGCCAGAUUUGGGAAAUCUGCCUGGAUAACAUUCACAUGAAUGGGCAUGUACACGAAAAACCACGGUAACGUAAUUAGAAUAGUCAGAGAAACAUAGCCAGAAGAAUUUGCAACAUGCUCUUGUAACACCAAAUUCGAUCAGUUUAAAAGAAAUAGUUAUGUGGGCGAUUGAAAAGUAAAUGUGUUCUUUUUAAGGUAAAAAUUUGGACCCUUAUCACGUAUACACCCUUAUGUACUCUUCAAAUCAGCAUCAUUAUUAAUUUAUAUACAUUUUUUGCUAAUCUGAGUCAGCACAGGCUGCAGCUGUCAGAAUGGACACCUUUUGGUUGUUGGGUUUCUCUAAGUUUCUGGGGUGAAGCUGCGUUAUUCAGAACGUAGCUCUUGGCUGCCAUCUCGGGGCUUAUUAAGGACUGUGAACUUUAUCCACAAGCCAUGACAAUAUCUGUCCCACCGAACGCUCCCUCCAGCACACUCUUACUCCUGUGAUGUGUGUUAAGUGCUCCGAUGAUGCUGAAAACAGCUCAGGAUGUGAAAAGGCAGGAACAGUUCUGAAGUCAAAGGCCGAUGUCCUGUUUCUCUUUCCCUCUGUGACCAACUCCCUUCCCAGUGGUAACCAGUACCCACAGCGUGGUUUGAAUUUCCGCACGCUGUUGUCUGUGCACUUGGGCACGCACACACACACGCAGCAUGCAUGUGGGUGAUGCUGGGCAUUUUGUGUAUGAGUGGGAUGCACAUACACACAUCUACAUCCGUAUCAUGCCCACGUAUCUGUAACUUGCUUUUCCCGUGUAAGAACGUUUCUUAGAAUCUGUUCAACGCAUGUGUGUGAGUGAUUGAAGGCAUUUCUAACCCAUUUUGAAGAUGGCUACGUAGGACCAUACGGGUAUUGUACUGAUGUCAAUUUGACCACAUCCAUUGUUUCCAUCUUUUGGGCUGUUCUUGUAUAUUUUACUUUCCGUAUAACACUGUGACAUUGAGAAUUGGUACCUAAAACAGUCUAUUUGCUUUACAUUAAAUUCGUAGGCUAAUUUGUGUACCUUCA